AUACGGAGGGUCCAAGCGUUAUCCGGAAUCAUUGGGUUUAAAGGGUUCGUAGGCGGGUCAAUAAGUCAGAGGUGAAAUCUUGCAGCUUAACUGUAAAAUUGCCUUUGAAACUGCUGACCUUGAAUUACCGUGAAGUGGUUAGAAUAUGUAGUGUAGCGGUGAAAUGCUUAGAGAUUACAUAGAAUACCGAUUGCGAAGGCAGAUCACUAACAGUAUAUUGACGCUGAUGAACGAAAGCGUGGGUAGCGAACGGAAUUAGAAACCCCGGUAGUCC
rnacentral:rRNA from 1 species